ACUCCUACGGGAGGCAGCAGUGGGGAAUUUUGGACAAUGGGCGAAAGCCUGAUCCAGCAAUGCCGCGUGAGUGAAGAAGGCCUUCGGGUUGUAAAGCUCUUUUGUCAGGGAAGAAACGGUGAAAGCUAAUAUCUUUUGCUAAUGACGGUACCUGAAGAAUAAGCACCGGCUAACUACGUGCCAGCAGCCGCGGUAAUACGUAGGGUGCAAGCGUUAAUCGGAAUUACUGGGCGUAAAGCGUGCGCAGGCGGUUUUGUAAGUCUGAUGUGAAAUCCCCGGGCUCAACCUGGGAAUUGCAUUGGAGACUGCAAGGCUAGAAUCUGGCAGAGGGGGGUAGAAUUCCACGUGUAGCAGUGAAAUGCGUAGAUAUGUGGAGGAACACCGAUGGCGAAGGCAGCCCCCUGGGUCAAGAUUGACGCUCAUGCACGAAAGCGUGGGGAGCAAACAGGAUUAGAAACCCCUGUAGUCC
rnacentral:rRNA from 1 species